rnacentral:miRNA from 1 species
UCUUCGCGGGUACUGUCGGGAC